rnacentral:rRNA from 1 species
AAGUCGACUGGAAUUCACCUUCGGGUGAUAGUACGGUGGCGGACGGGUGAGUAACGCGUAAAGAACUUGCCCUCUAGACUGGGACAACUGUUGGAAACGACAGCUAAUACCGGGUAUUAUGAGAUUCUCGCAUGGGAAACUUAUGAAAGGCUAUAUGCGCUAGAGGAGAGCUUUGCGUGCCAUUAGGUAGUUGGUAGGGUAAUGGCCUACCAAGCCGACGAUGGCUAGCCGGCCUGAGAGGGUGAUCGGCCACAAGGGGACUGAGACACGGCCCUUACUCCUACGGGAGGCAGCAGUGGGGAAUAUUGGACAAUGGACCAAAAGUCUGAUCCAGCAAUUCUGUGUGCACGAUGAAGGUUUUCGGAUCGUAAAGUGCUUUCAGGUGGGAAGAAAAAAAUGACGGUACCACCAGAAGAAGCGACGGCUAAAUACGUGCCAGCAGCCGCGGUAAUACGUAUGUCGCAAGCGUUAUCCGGAAUUAUUGGGCGUAAAGCGCGUCUAGGCGGCCUUUUAAGUCUGAUGUGAAAAUGCGGGGCUCAACUCCGUAUUGCGUUGGAAACUGGAAGGCUAGAGUAUCAGAGAGGUGGGCGGAACUACAAGUGUAGAGGUGAAAUUCGUAGAUAUUUGUAGGAAUGCCGAUUGGGAAGCCAGCUCACUGGAUGAAUACUGACGCUGAAGCGCGAAAGCGUGGGGAGCAAACGGGAUUAGAUACCCCGGUAGUCCACGCCGUAAACGAUGAUCACUAAGUGUGGGGGGUCGAACCUCCGUGCUCAAGCUAACGCGAUAAGUGAUCCGCCUGGGGAGUACGCACGCAAGUGUGAAACUCAAAGGAAUUGACGGGGACCCGCACAAGCGGUGGAGCAUGUGGUUUAAUUCGACGCAACGCGAGGAACCUUACCAGCCCUUGACAUCCUCAGAACUUAGCAGAGAUGCUUUGGUGCCACUU